GAUGAUCAAAGAACUGGUAACGUAUAAAUUACAAUUGACAUUGUUACGUACAUAAGCUUUUUUCUAGAAACAUCGAUGAUGUGACGUCACGAAGUGGUGAUGACGCAACAGAAGAACCCACUUCAACACGGUAUGUGACGUCACAGAGGAUCAAGCCGACCAUGACGGUAGAGAAGAACGAAAAAAAGUCAGCGAAUAAAGCUGCCGAGGAAAAGCGCAAGACGAAGAACAAAGACGAAGACGCCAAUAAGGAUACCGGUUUGAGGUGUUUGUAGGCCUAAGUGUGUAUAGGUUUAAUUAUAUUAGCGGCGGUAAACCCGCGAAGAAAGAAGAUCAAAAACGAAGACGCCGAAACGGAUAUCGGUUUCAGGUGCUUAGGUUUAUUGUGUAAGUAUAAUUGUGUAUGGCUGUAUGCGAAUAUGUGUUAGCUGGUAUACACUUUAACUGUGUUGUCAGCCAUUUUUUUGCUGGAUCUAACCUUGCCAGCUAUGUCCCCUAAGCACUUUUCAGUGCUUCUACAGGUCUUUGAAAUAAAUGCAUAGGAAUUGUUGCAACAUUCUUACUGGAUUACUAGAUUCUUUCGGCGGUUUUAUAAUUGUCUCGGUUUGCUUUGCGAGAACUGUCUUGGUACACAUAUACUCGAGUAUAAUAUCAACGGGCAUUAUAAUAUACAUCCAUUUAACUUUCCUCAUGUUUUAUGUAUUUCAAAUUUAGCUGCAAAUGUUCCUGCCCCGGUAAAAGUCUUGUACGUUACCAUGACGUCACGUUGCGUAAUUGUGAUGAUGGCCACGUCACAAUUUCUCUACGUCACGUUGAUACGUUGGGUCACCAUCGUCUUGACCCUGCGUUCGGUGCGGUUAUUCCACGGUCGGCUUAGUUACGUUACAGCUGCGGAUUUGUUACGUAUAGACGUCGCCGCCUUGCGGUUCGUAACAGCCACAGUAUGUCGUAACUGUCGAUGCGGUGCGUAACAGCCGGACGAUAUUAUAUUGUGUGAAUAUAUAACUAGAGUAUCGCGGUACCAAGAUGUUUUCUCGAUAGGCCGGGCCUUUGUUGACUUCAAGCCCUUGCAGGUGGGUGCGCACUACAGGUAUUUUCUGUACGAUUGUUGUACCUUUUCAAAUGUCGGUAUUUCAUUGAUCAUGUUGCGCUUCUUAAAUAUGCCUGUUGGUGUAAUAGAGCUUGUGUUUAUCUCUGUUUAGGGUAAUGUUGCGCAGUAUUAUUUUUGUCAUCGGUUUCUUUUCCUUGCAAGGUCUAUCCAACAAGGGUUUCUCACCAGAGUAGAAACCCACUACCAUUGGCUGGGGGCUUGUCGUGCCGUAGUGGCUUUCCACCAACGCCAGCCACAUAAAUAUGAAAUUUAAUCUUGUUUCUAUUUUCCAGAUAUAUACAACUGCUAGACGCUGGACUUUUUAAUUAUAUUAUUUAAUUAUAUUAAAUAAACCAGUCUAUAUACGAGCGUGUUACAUUCUGUUAUUGUUUGUUGUACUUCCAAUAUUUCUGUGCACAAAUUAGUUUCUUGCUUAUUGACAUCCUCCACCGGCAUAAGCUUCUAUUUUACCAUUGCCGACAGGCUGUUUUAGGGAAUGAAAUUGGUGGCGUUAAUUUGAAUUGCCUCUAACCCAGAGUUAUUGUAUUCGAAGCUCGAUGCUGCUACCAUUGUGGGCGCGUCUUUGGACAAGACACUAAACGACAAUUGCGCCAACCCAGUGUUUACUGAAGUUGUCUAAAACCCCAUUGGAUUUGUCUAAACUGUCACCUAUAAAUUCGUUACAAAAAUGAUGUAAUACAAAAAUAAUCACCAAAAA